UUGGAGGGCAAGUCUGGUGCCAGCAGCCGCGAUAAUUCCAGCUCCAAUAGCGUAGAUUAAAGUUGUUGCAGUUAAAAAGCUCGUAGUUGAAUUUCGGGAUCAAGGAAUCGGUCAUGCCUCGGUAUGUACUGGUUUUAUUGGUUCUCACCUUCUAAAGAACCAUAAUGUCAUUUAUUUGGUGUUAUGGGGAAUUAGGACUGUUACCUUGAAAAAAUUAGAGUGUUUAAAGCAAGCUUACGCUUGAAUACAUUAGCAUGGAAUAAUGAAAUAGGACAUCCGAUUCUAUUUUGUUGGUUUCUAGGAUCGAUGUAAUGAUUAAUAGGGAUAGUUGGGGGCAUUAGUAUUCAAUUGUCAGAGGUGAAAUUCUUGGAUUUAUUGAAGACUAACUACUGCGAAAGCAUUUGCCAAGGAUGUUUUCAUUAAUCAAGAACGAAAGUUAGGGGAUCGAAGACGAUCAGAUACCGUCGUAGUCUUAACCAUAAACUAUGCCGACUAGGGAUCGGAUGAUGUUAAUUUUUUAAUGACUCAUUCGGCGCCUUACGGGAAACCAAAGUGUUUGGGUUC
rnacentral:rRNA from 1 species